rnacentral:rRNA from 1 species
GCAUAUCAAUAAGCGGAGGAAAAGAAACCAACAGGGAUUGCCCUAGUAACGGCGAGUGAAGCAGCAAUAGCUCAAAUUUGAAAUCUGGCGUCUUCGACGUCCGAGUUGUAAUUUGUAGAGGAUGCUUCUGAGUGGCCACCGACCUAAGUUCCUUGGAACAGGACGUCAUAGAGGGUGAGAAUCCCGUAUGCGGUCGGAAAGGCGCUCUAUACGUAGCUCCUUCGACGAGUCGAGUUGUUUGGGAAUGCAGCUCUAAAUGGGAGGUAAAUUUCUUCUAAAGCUAAAUAUUGGCCAGAGACCGAUAGCGCUCAAGUAGAGUGAUCGAAAGAUGAAAAGCACUUUGGAAAGAGAGUCAAACAGCACGUGAAAUUGUUGAAAGGGAAGCGCUUGCAGCCAGACUUGCUUGCAGUUGCUCAUCCGGGCUUUUGCCCGGUGCACUCUUCUGCAGGCAGGCCAGCAUCAGUUUGGGCGGUAGGAUAAAGGUCUCUGUCACGUACCUCUCUUCGGGGAGGCCUUAUAGGGGAGGCGACAUACUACCAGCCUGGACUGAGGUCCGCGCAUCUGCUAGGAUGCUGGCGUAAUGGCUGUAAGCGGCCCGUCUUGAAACACGGACC